ensembl:lncRNA
GUUUGCUCGCCUCGGGAUGAACGGAUGUAAUGUGCGCAUCCAUGCAGCGCAGCACAGGAGAGGGAGGGUGAAGGGAGGCAGAGCAAACAUUCACACGCGCAGCGUUUAUACAGAAGCAUAAACCAAAAAACAAAACAAAAACAACAGCAACAAGAAAACCCCCACCAAAACUCAGUGACCGCACAGCUGGAGCCAGAAACAGAUCGGGGGAGAAAGCACCAAACCGCUGGCUGAACUUUCCCGGUGAUUACGCAUGUGGACUCUCACGGACUGCGGCGUGGACACAGGGACAAAAUAGAGGAAAUCAUACAGAAGCUGACUACAGACCCUUAUCCACCAACCCCACUGGGCUCCUCACUGAUGAAAAUACAUCAUCUGGAAAAUAUUUCCUACAAAUCAUGAAGGACAAAGGCUUCAGAUCUUUUCAGUGGAGUAUUGUCUGAAGAUAAAGUAAACGGAGGCAUUUGCUCUGGCCUCUAGCUCAGUAGUACCCAGAGACUACCUGCUUCCAGAGGCUUUUCUGCUUCUCUUUGGCUGUGGAGGAGAGAAAAUGAGCACCGCAUGAGAAAUCACUAUUGUGGAUUACUGAGGAUCAAGCCAGACCAAGAACCCCUGAUCAGUAAUCGGAACUGUUAGGAGGAAUUACAUCUGAAACUUGACCGAAUUACAGAACGUAGCCUUUCUAUCCUGUUGGAG